rnacentral:rRNA from 1 species
AUCGCACGCUGGCGGCGGGCCUAACACAUGCAAGUCGAACGAGUGGCGGACGGGUGAGCAAUGUCUGGGAAACUGCCCGAUGGACGGGGAUAACUACUGGAACAGGUAGCUAAUACCGCAUACCAUCGGAUGUGCCCAGAUGGGAUUAGGUAGUUGGUGAGGUAAAGGCUCACCAAGCCGACGAUCUCUAGCUGGUCUGCGAGGAUGACCAGCCACACGGGGACUGAGACACGGCCCAGACUCCUACGGGAGGCAGCAGUGGGGAAUAUUGCGCAAUGGGCGCAACCCUGACGCAGCCAUGCCGCGUGAAUGAAGAAGGCCUUCGGGUUGUAAAGUUCUGUCGUUAGCGAGGCGUUAACUACAGAAGAAGCACCGGCUAACUCCGUGCCAGCAGCCGCGGUAAUUC